CCGAUAACCCACGAAAAAACUCUCCACCUUUUGAAAAUUCAGCAUGUAUACCAUCGUCAUAAGUUUACCUCUUAAGAGAAGUAUACUCAAAGAAUUACACCCCUUAUGUCAGAUCGAGGUGCAGCAAAUAAGGUGGGGGUUGGUGAACUACAAUAUUUCCUUAAAUCAUUUCAAACCCAAUUAUGAAUAUCACAUGUGAAACCAUUGAUUGAAAUGGGAUUUAGUAGUAAUACUCAAAAUAAAUUGAGUAUGAAACCAAAAGCUCUAAAAUACGC
rnacentral:rRNA from 1 species